AAGGAAUAUUGCUCAAUGGGAGAAAUCCUGAAGCAGCAACGCCGCGUGGAGGAUGAAGGGUCUAUGACUUGUAAACUCCUGUAAAGAAGGAAAAAAUUCCCAUUUGAUGGGAGAUGAUGGUACUUCUGGAGUAAGCCCCGGCUAACUACGUGCCAGCAGCCGCGGUAAUACGUAGGGGGCAAGCGUUGUCCGGAUUUACUGGGUGUAAAGGGUGCUCAGGCGGAUUUGUAAGUCAGAGGUGAAAUCUUACAGCUUAACUGUGAAACUGCCUUUGAUACUACAAGCCUAGAGUAUGGAAGAGAGUGAUGGAAUAGCUGGUGUAGCAGUGAAAUGCGUAGAUAUCAGAUAGAACACCAAUGGCGAAGGCAGUCACUUGGUCCAUUACUGACGCUAAAGCACGAAAGCGUGGGUAGCAAACA
rnacentral:rRNA from 1 species